AGGAGGAGGGUAAGGGAGUUGACAAGGAUGGAAACAAGAUCAAGGCUGACAAGGAAGCUGUCAAGACUUU
rnacentral:snRNA from 1 species